GUUGAUUGGUCCAUAUUCCACUUCCCUUAGUAUGUAUCUUCUCUGGUUUUCAUUGGUUGUCACUGGUUCCUCCUGUAUACUAUCCUGCUGCCUACUGGCUCCAUGUCCAUUUCACUGUCUGGCUUACCCAUAUGCUGAGUUAUUACCCUCAUGCCCCUAUAUGACAUGCCAGCAGCUGCCCUCCAAGUGCUUUUCAAAAUCACAAUCCAGAAGUCCCUUUCUCCAAAACAUUUUGGGCAUCAAAAUGAAGACUUGAAUAGGCUUUCCAAAAGCUGCAGCUGAGCUACCUGCUGUGUUGGGGAAGAAGGAAGAGACAAGGUUGACAAUAAGAUUCACCAUCUUCAUUCAUCUGCUUCAUUACUAUCUUCAGCUUACUGGGAAAAGGCCAAUCUACAAUCCUCUAGAUUCCACUUAAGUAAGCAAGCUGGUAAUUUAUUACGAUUAAUAAGAUGCUUCCUAGCAGUUGUGUUUUGUGGUUAUUGCUUUUUGCGCUUUUUAAGAGUUAUAAACUACUCCCUAUAAAGAAAAAUUGCUAAGAAAUUUCAAUGAAGAGCCCCUCUGAGAAGAUGCUUUUUCAUAAAAAAUAUUUUUUACAGCAGGCUUUAUACAUAUACUUUUUUGCAAUCUAUUUUUGUUUCUCUGCAUGCUUGAGUACAUUAUUUCAUAAGAGUGCCUAUUCUUCGGUCCUGUUGCAUACAGUGGCAGUCAGAAACAAAUUGAUUGCCGAGGACAACAACAGCGUUAUUCGAACUGUAAGAAAAUAUUUAGAGUGCAACAUGUUCCUUUUCUUUACACACCACACUUAUGUGUUAAUGUAUCCUUAUAAAUGUCAAAUAAGUGCUGUCUCAUUUUGAUGCUUAAAACAUGCUGCCUCUAUCAAGGAAUUAUCAGAAAUGUAUGAUUAAGUGAGAACAAGCAAUUAAAGUUUCUCAGCUUGGC